GACGAACCGUGCGAACGUUAUUCGGAAUCACUGGGCUUAAAGGGCGCGUAGGCGGGCUGUCAAGUUUGGGGUGAAAUCCCGCGGCUCAACCGUGGAACUGCCUCAAAUACUGACGGCCUCGAGGAAGGUAGGGGCAUGCGGAACUGUAGGUGGAGCGGUGAAAUGCGUAGAUAUCGGAAGGAACACCAGUGGCGAAAGCGGCUUCCUGGUCCAGCACCGACGUUCAGGCACGAAAGCGUGGGGAGCAAACAGG
rnacentral:rRNA from 1 species